rnacentral:sRNA from 1 species
GAGGAAAAGAAACCAACAGGGAUUGCCCCAGUAACGGCGAGUGAAGCGGCAACAGCUCAAAUUUGAAAUCUGGCCCCCCGCGGGCCCGAGUUGUACUUUGGAGAGGACGCUUCUGGCGCGGCGCCGGCCGAGUGCCCUGGAACGGGCCGCCGGAGAGGGUGAGAGCCCCGUACGGCCGGCCGCCUAGCCUCUGCGAAGCUCCUUCGACGAGUCGAGUAGUUUGGGAAUGCUGCUCAAAAUGGGAGGUAAAUUUCUUCUAAAGCUAAAUACCGGCCAGAGACCGAUAGCGCACAAGUAGAGUGAUCGAAAGAUGAAAAGCACUUUGAAAAGAGGGUUAAACAGUACGUGAAAUUGCUGAAAGGGAAGCGCCUGUGGCCAGACUUGCGCCCCGCGGACCACCCGGCGCCCGCGCCGGGGCACGCCGCGGGGCGCAGGCCAGCAUCGGCUCUCCCAGGGGGACAAAGGCCGCGGGAACGUAGCGCCCUCGGGCGUGUUACAGCCCGCGGCGCCAUGCCCCUGGGGGGGCCGAGGACCGCGCUCCGGCAAGG